rnacentral:rRNA from 1 species
UACAGAGGGUGCAAGCGUUAAUCGGAAUUACUGGGCGUAAAGCGCGCGUAGGUGGUUUGUUAAGUUGGAUGUGAAAUCCCCGGGCUCAACCUGGGAACUGCAUUCAAAACUGACAAGCUAGAGUAUGGUAGAGGGUGGUGGAAUUUCCUGUGUAGCGGUGAAAUGCGUAGAUAUCGAGAGGAACACCAGUGGCGAAGGCGAGUCCCUGGACAGGUCCUGACGCUGAGGCACGAAAGCUAGGGGAGCAAACAGG